ACAAAACUCUGGGAAUGUUAAUGGCACAAUGGCAAUUAGCAAUGGGUUUCUCCUCCCGGGCCUUGUUAGGCAAGUACUCCCAGCCCCGAUUUUCUAUGGCAUAAUAAAGUAUAAACAUUGCAGUAUAUCCCGAGCUUGUCCCUCAAACAGCAAUGCAUACUCCCACUCCUUUUGCGUUGCUCCAGGAUAUAAAGUUGCAAAUAGUCCUUACCCUUAAUUUCUCUCUCCCUACCCUUGCCUGCCCUUGGACCCUCCUUAUGGACUAUUAAUAAUCAUAAUUUCAGAUGUCCAUGUAUCCAGUCAAUAGAUGAGAUUCUGCUUCCUCCUCCUUCCCGCCCCUGUCCUGCACCUUUUGCAUUGUUGGUGGGGAAUGUUGACUGGGCAAGGCCCUUUCUCUUGGACCUAAAUGUUAACAAUCCCAGAUGUCAGUGGUUUACCCACUUCGUAUUACACUUUCCUUGGUCCCGCCCAUCCGACAUGGACCCCUGCACUUAUUUCUUUGCAUUGCUUCUGAGUAAUGCUGACUACCUAAAGCCCUUUCUGUGUUGUUAAUUAACACAGUACUGAUUGUCCCAUUUUUCAGCCCAUCAUCCCAAGAUCUCCCUGCCACUUUGAUGUUGCGUUUGUGCAGUGUUGACUACCAAAAGCAGGCCUGAACUAGGUGGAUGGACCUUCACUCCUUUUCCUGUAUUUGUUAAUUAUCCCAAUUCCAAUGACUGUCCUAUCCCUGCCCACUGUUGUUACUGCUUUACUGGGCAAAAUGUUCAAGGCAAGUCAGGCCCAGGGUCCUGGACUGCCAUUCUUUAUUUUAUCAGAUGAAAAUUGUCUUCCCGGGAAGGAAGAUUAACACCGUCUCUGCAUUCUUCCUUCCAGAGCAGAUUGCCUGGCUAAGAAUGCUAUUCUACAGAAUCAAUUGCCAGGAUACAAUCAAAGAGUUCCCGUGAAUUUCUUGUUUCUUAAGAAAGACAUCUGGAUUACAGCUGGAAUUGAAUAACCUGGUCAUUAAAUUUUUGAACUUUAAAGAUCCAUUUAUACCAUGUACCUGAUGACCAGUGUCUCUCAUUUUACUAAGGGUGGUGAGUCUGUGGAUAGACCACUGUGACUCUUGCUAUACCAAAAGAAUUCUAGAAUGGAGCUCCUAAGACAAGUAUCUUUGGACUUUACUACCAUUCACUUUUAGAAAAACUACCUACACUUUCUAAUCCUUAAAUUUCUUCAUCUGGAGCACCAACUGGCCCCUUCUUAUUUCAAGAAGAUUACUAUAAAAAGAUGAAAUGAGAGAACAUAUACUGUAGAUCACCUUAUUUGAUUACUCUAUUACAUAAAAUAUGCCCUCUUUAAUUGUGCUAAUUUAAAGUAGCCUUAAGCAACACAGUGAAGUGAGGACUUAGAAAUGAUGGGACCUGUUUCCCUGUUUUAUAGCAAAAGAAAAAUAGGCCAAGAUCUAAUCAUUCUUCUGGACAUAAAUUUCAACAGUGAGAUAGCUGCUUGGUAAAAAUGAAAAUUAGCCUAGCCUCUAGUGUACAGGGUGUUUGGUGGCAGAGAAGUAUUUAAUACGGAACUGCUGAAGCAAAUAACUAAUCAUCAUAACAGCAGUUCCUUAUAAUCACUGAAAAAGGAUACUAUUCCUGUGAGAAGGAUGUCAAAAGGUCGGCCCAGCUCAGGGUGCAGUGUGCACUACUAGCUCCUUGGACAGCUGUAAGAAGAGUCUCUGGCUCUUUAGAAUACUGAAUGAAUUCUGAGCCGGUUCUGUACCCAUACUCAGGAAGGAUGGAUCAAUUUUAGGUGGAUUGAAGCCUGCACUAGACAGCAUCCGAAGGAUAUUCUGAGAAUGUGAGACCUGAGGACAGCAAGCAACUCUAAGAAGCUCCACACUCAGCAGAUCUUUCCUUUUGAGAAUCUGGAGAAGCUCCCACUACUCUAAGAGGACAGCUUGCAGGCCACCAGGAUGAAAAGAUCUUCCUCAAAAGAAGAGGCUUGUUGCUUUACAGUGUUAGUGACCCGUUCCCUUUGACGAUCCCUAGGUGGAGAUGGGGCAUGAGGAUCCUCCAAGGGAAAAGCUCACUACCACUGGGCAACAACCCUAAGCCAAGAAGUUCUGCCAAGAUUCUUUCCUGGGCCCAGAUAGGAAGGUCAAGUCUCAAGGCAGCCUGCAAACAUCACCGUACAAAGAGCAAGAAAUUUGAACACAUCAAAGGAAGAUCAACAUGCCUGGCACACUAGCAUUUUAGAAGAGCAGAAUGAAAAGUGUGUAUUUCCUUCUUGAAUGUCUUUGGUGUUUGUUCUCUGAAGUGUGUCUAACCCAUUUCUAUGAUUCUCCUGCUAGUUUCUUCUCUACGUAUCUUUGUCUCAUUUUCUUUUUUCUUUAUAAGAGUGGGCUGUGUCUUGUCUUAGAUGUCUCUCUCUACUUCAUUGUGUUACUGAUCGUCUUUGCUCUCCUAGAUCUGGCUGUUCUUUCACUGCUCUUCCGUUUGUGUCUCUGAGUCACACGCUAUGUGCUUUUGCUUAUUUCUUGUUCUGCCUCUCUUUUUUUCCUCUUUGUGAACUCUGAUUGGAUUGACAUUUCAACGUUUUCUGUUUCUGGCCUCCCUUCUGCUGUUUCUAUAUCUUGCCUUUCUCUUUCUUCCAUGUCCUUUCUGCCUCUCUUGGGCCAUUUUCUGUCUUUUUUCCUGCUCUGUGUGCCUCAGUGUCUCUUUGUUCUUUGUGAUUUUCCAUUUCGUUAUUCCUCUCUG